UAGUCUCCCAGUUAGCUCUCUUGUUCCUGCCAUUCAAGAAAGCAUAGAGUCCUAUAUACUGCAAAUUCAUCUCAUCUAGGCCAAAGCCUAAAGUCCAGCAGCCACUUCUAAAAUGUGAGUUACAACUCUCUCUACAGAUCCAGUGACUACUACUCAGCUAAGGAAUAUAUUAGCAGCACAGUGGCCUGCCUAAAUAUCUCAAUAACUACAAGUCCAAGCAAGCCUGGUCAGUAUAUCACUUCAGUGUGGUGGAGGGUGCACACCUUUUUGAUAUACGAUACCAGGGAGCGCCCCUGUCUUUUCUUCUCUCUCCCAAUAUCCUCCAAAUCACAGAGAGUGUAGCUGGACGGUUACAGCCACUUGUCAUCUCUAUAUCCCGCCUGAACUCAUCAGUGCAGUAACAAAACAGGAAGUUAAGUCAGGGCAAUGCUGGAAUGUGUAGAGAUAGGCAAGAGGAACUCAAGCAUCUGUCGAAAGUGUGGACAAGAGGAGGCAAGUUGGUU